rnacentral:tRNA from 3 species
AGCCCAGUAGUGUAGUGGCCAAUCAUCUGUGCCUUUGGAGCAUGGGACCGCGGUUCGAAUCCGCGCUGGGCUACCA